ensembl:lincRNA
CAAAAAUACUUAGGCAUUCACACUCAUUCAUUUAUCUGUGGCUUUUGUUCCUUUCUUACAUCUAAUUAAAUUAAGAGAAAUACCAGGUGUAGAAUUCUUAGAUAUUUAGAGUUUUUAGUGAGCAAGAGAAAUACACCCUCAUGUGCCCUGGGGAGACAAUUAAUUUGGUUUUUCUGUACUUUAGGAUUAUCAAGCCUAUCUGGAAUUGUUAUGGCUUUUUAUCCUUUCAGCCAUUCUGAUGCUAAUGGAAAAAACAUCAGCAAGGAUAGCAAAGAAACAAAAUGUCACAUCUUGUUUAUGCCAUUUGGUUGUCACAUGUAUCCACUUAAUUGCUCUUCUCCCAGAUGGGACUCAUAUGACAAUGUCGCAACUUUUGGAAAAAUGCCUACUUUCCUCAGAACCAAGAUGUCCUAGAUGGAAGUGACCUUCAGAGCUUGGAUAAGAGGUUACACAAGAGGGUUUGAUGCGUGGAGAUGCUACAGCUAACUCCUUCUCUCUUUUUGUCCCAAACUUGAGCCCUUUCCUCAGAAAAAAAGGGGUUUUGUCAUAUCAUAAUUUCCACAGGUAACAAGUUGUGUGCCAAAUAAAGCCAACCAUGUUGGGUUUUGUUUUUUAAUGGGUAAUUCUAUUGAUCUUUCUUUUGUACUGAGCAACUUGGAGCCAUGAUGGCAUUGAAGCUUGCAGAGCUUCUCAGUGUUGUAUAUGAGGACCCUAAGAUCAAACGUCUUAACUUGAAGAAGCUUUUCCUCAAGAGACAGAUGUAGAACACCCUGAUCUCACUGCAUUUUCCCAAGACCUGUGGGCCCUUUUACAGAAGACCUUCAGCCAUGAGAGGAGUGACAAUAUGACAGUUUAGGAUCCUUGUAUGGGACACUAAUGGAUUAAAGAGAAGAGGGCAGACAGUUUCUUCCCUCUUUUGAAUCUAAAGUGUGGCUUUACCAAGAUGAUGGACCACAGAGUCCUGGGAGGUUCUGAGAUUCAGGAGUCUCUCUGGACAACUCCUGCUUAAAGAUGCUCUUGUGAUAUAUGGUUGACCUACCUGAAACUACCUACCUUUCCUUCUUCCCACCUCUGUCACAUCUCUGAGCUUCUUUCCAGUGAUAUCACUAGUCUUAGAAUGAUACAAGCAGAACCUUACCACAAGGAUCAUGCCUCCCUCUUCAGCUUCUUGUUAUUAUGAACUUUUUCCUCUUAACACCUUGAAGGAUGCGAUGCAUAAAUAUAAAUGUGAAUUUUUUGUGUGUCUGAACUGAGAAAAGUAAUGAAGUAUAACAAAUGUCCUGGAUUUGAAUAUGCAGAAUCAGCAGAUCCUCCUGCUUAACUCUACCAAAAAGAGUAAGGUACUGUGUAUUCCAGCCUCAGUCACCUUAGCAUUUCUUCUUCCAGGUCAUUCUGUGCGCUCAACCUAAUGACCGGUACUUGAAGUCCAUUUCUGAGUGGAACUUCCAUGAUAAGGUACAGUCUGUAAGUGUAGAGUUUCCUAUUCAGGACUUCUCGUCCAUUCCUGUCCUACUCCAUUUGGGGAGUAUGGAUAGACUCACUUGCUAAAAUGGUGAAGCCAGUGCCCACAGCUGGCCAGGCUGAGCUGUUUCUGAAGCUCAAAGAAGCUAUGACUCAUCCUCCUACGUCUGUUAGCUUCCCACUCCCCUCCCUAGACCAACUACUCCUCUCAUUCUGACUCCUACAAACCCACUUAUUUUCAACUUUGCUCAAUAACCAUGACAUUCAAACCCAGCCUGCUUCAUACGCAGGAUGCUGCUAAAGCACACGGUGAGAAUCAGGGUCCACGGAAGAAAGAAUGACCUCAAGGUGAGGGCUGUUUUCUCGGAUGAUGGGUGGUGAGAGAUAGCUAUUAAUGAGAGAGUACAGCAAGUUUUAGGACAUGUGUCAUCAUGCCCAAUUGAGUGAAGGGAAUACAGUCACUGUAAUUGGUGGUUUUCAGGAAGUCACACCACAUUUUAAUUGAAAGCACAGGCUUCUACAAGAUUAGGAACAUAAACCUUUGGUGCUGAAGCUGGACUGAGCUGGUAACAUUGAGCUAAAAUGGCUUCCUGCCAUAAAGCAGCAUUGCUCAAGCUUGUUCUCCCGAUGACACUUCCAGACCCUUUUGCAAAGUCACAAAAGAAAACUCAAAAAACACUUUUCAGAGAAGAUUCAGGUCUUUUCCUACCAGAGAUACUUUGGGGGAAAGAUUGAGAAGAAGCCAGUAGUUUAUUGCAAAGCCACUGAAACCAACACUGACUCCUCCACCCUUCCAUCAGGUGCCAUGAGGGCACAGGCAUCUCCAGCCAGGCCUCUGUUUCUCAGAGUUUGGAUUCUAGGCCCACCUGUUUCCAGCCAGUGUCCAGUGACUACAGAGGCCUCCAGUUCUUUGGAAAGAAGAAAUACUCAAUAGAUUCAUUCAAAAAAAUAUUUGUUGAGUAUCUACCAAGUGCUGGUCACUAAGACACGAGGAAUUUCAAUAGCGAUAAUUAGCGGGGAUACAAGCCCAAUAAAAUUAACCAUUAGAUUUCCAGUGGAAACCCCAGAGUAUAUAUUAAACAUAAAUCUGAAUUUAAAACACAACUCAUUUUCUGUAUUGUUAAUUUUUAAAAAUUUCUUUGCUUGUAAAGUUAGAGCGUUAUGAAGAUCUCCGAGGUGUAUCUCUGAGGUUUGCCUGUAUAUGGCUGCGUAACCACCGCCACACUCAGGCUGCGGAACAUGUCCAUCCAUCAGAAAGCUCCUUCACGACCCUUGCAGCCAGCACCCUUCCCUAGUUCCCACUCUGGCAGGCAAUGAUUAGAUUUUUCUACAUACAUUUUUGCUUUUUAAAAGAAUGUAAUGCAAUUGGAUUCAUAUAGUAUAUAACCUUUGGGAUUGGCUACUUUUGCUUAGCAUAAAACUUCUGAGAUUCACCAAUGGAUGAAGUAUCAGUGAUUCAGUUCUUUUAAUGGCUGAGUGGUAUUCCAUUGCCUGCGUGUAUCUCUGUUUGUUUAUCCAUUCACCAGAUGCAGGACAUUUGGGUCAUUUCCAGUUUGGGACUAUUGUGAAUAAAGCUGCUAGAAACAUUCCCCUAUAGGACUUUAUGUGAAUACAUAAUUUCAUUUCUCUUGGGUAAAUAAAAACAUAGGAUUGCGUUAUGGAUGGUAUAGAAAAUGUAUAUGUAGGUGGCAGACUUGGCCCAGUGGUUAGGGCGUCCAUCUACCACAUGGGAGGUCCGCGGUUCAAACCCCAGGCCUCCUUGACCCAUGUGGAGCUGGCCCAUGCGCAGUGCUGAUGCGCGCAAGGAGUGCCCUGCCACGCAGGGGUGUCCCCACGUAGGGGAGCCCCACGCGCAAGGAGUGUGUCCCAUAAGGAGAGCUGCCCAGCGCGAAAGAAAGCGCAGCCUGCCCAGGAAUGGUGCCGCACACACGGAGAGCUGACACAACAAGAUGAUGCAACAAAAAGAAACACAGAUUCCCGUGCCGCUGAUAACAACAGAAGCGGACAAAGAAGAUGCAGCAAAUAGACACAGAGAACAGACAACCAGGGUGGGAGGGGAGGAGGGAGAGAAAUAAAAUAAAUAAAUAAAUCUUUAAAAAAGAAAAUGUAUGUGUAUGCUUGACUUUUUAAGAAUCUGUCAAACUGCUUUCCAAAGUGGCUAUAUCAUCUUGCAUCCCAACCAGCAAGGAAUGAGAGUUACACUUGCUCUACAUUCUUCUCAGCACUU